rnacentral:rRNA from 1 species
UACGUAGGGUGCAAGCGUUAAUCGGAAUUACUGGGCGUAAAGCGUGCGCAGGCGGUUGUGCAAGACCGAUGUGAAAUCCCCGGGCUUAACCUGGGAAUGGCAUUGGUGACUGUACGGCUAGAGUGUGUCAGAGGGGGGUAGAGUUCCACGUGUAGCAGUGAAAUGCGUAGAGAUGUGGAGGAAUACCGAUGGCGAAGGCAGCCCCCUGGGAUAACACUGACGCUCAUGUACGAAAGCGUGGGGAGCAAACAGG